UACGUAGGUGACCAGCGUUGUCCGGAUUUACUGGGCGUAAAGAGCGCGCAGGCGGUCGUUCAAGUCGAGUGUGAAAGCCCCGGGCUCAACCUGGGAAUUGCAUUCGAGACUGAAUAGCUAGGGUGCGGUAGAGGGAAGCGGAAUUUCCGGUGUAGCGGUGAAAUGCGUAGAUAAUCGGAAGGAACAUCAGUGGCGAAAGCGG
rnacentral:rRNA from 1 species